UCGAGAAUCUUUCGCAAUGGGCGCAAGCCUGACGAAGCGACGCCGUGUGAGCGAAGAAGGCCUUCGGGUUGUAAAGCUCUUUCGCUAGGGAACAAGAAAGAGGCGAUAAUAACGCCUCGAUUUGAUGGUACUUGGUAAAGAAGCACCGGCUAACUCCGUGCCAGCAGCUGCGGUAAUACGGAGGGUGCAAGCAUUGAUCGGAAUUACUGGGCGUAAAGGGCGCGUAGGCGGAUUGGUAAGUCAGAUGUGAAAUUCCGCGGCUCAACUGCGGAGCUGCAUUUGAAACUGCCAGACUAGAGCGUAGUUAGGGAAAACGGAAUUCCACGUGUAGCGGUGAAAUGCGUAGAUAUGUGGAAGAACACCAGUGGUGAAGACGGUUUUCUGGGCUAUUGCUGACGCUGAGGCGCGAAAGCUAGGGGAGCAAACA
rnacentral:rRNA from 1 species